rnacentral:lncRNA from 1 species
CCUGUGGUUUCUCACUUUCUCACUUUAGUAUCUUUUCGUUUAAAGUGUAUCAAAUUAGCCCAUGUGGUUUCGCAUUUUCUCACUUUAGUACCCUGCGAUUUAAAGUGUAUCAAGUUAGUAUCAUGUGGUUUUAUUUUUCUCUCACCGGAGUGUAACUAUUUUUCUUCCUCUUCCUCGCCGGCAUGCUUCUCAACCCCGAGAAGCACUUCCUCUUCGUCGCCGACGGCGGCAGUAGGGACGGCGGGUUUGUUUGGCGGGUAGAAAAUCCGCUGCAGUAGAGGUGGAGGGAGAAGGCGAAGGAAGAAGACG